rnacentral:rRNA from 1 species
AUUGAACGCUGGCGGCAUGCCUUACACAUGCAAGUCGAACGGUAACAGGUCUUCGGAUGCUGACGAGUGGCGUACGGGUGAGUAAUACAUCGGAACGUGCCCGAGAGUGGGGGAUAACGAGGCGAAAGCCUUGCUAAUACCCCAUACGAUCUGAGGAUGAAAGCAGGGGACCGCAAGGCCUUGCGCGAACGGAGCGGCCGAUGGUCGAUUAGGUAGUUGGUGGGAUAAAAGCUUACCCAGCCGAGGACCUGUAGCUAGUCUGAAGGGACGACCAGCCACACUGGGACUGGGACACGGCCCAGACUCCUACGGGAGGCAGCAGUGGGGAAUUUUGGACAAUGGGCGCAAGCCUGAUCCAGCCAUGCCGCGUGCAGGAUGAAGGCCUUCGGGUUGUAAACUGCUUUUGUACGGAACGAAAAGACUCUAGUUAAUACCUGGGGUCCAUGACGGUACCGUAAGAAUAAGCACCGGCUAACUACGUGCCAGCAGCCGCCGUAACAC